UGAACAACAAUUUUCGCGAUAGACUCUGC
rnacentral:sRNA from 1 species